rnacentral:sRNA from 1 species
UAACACUUUAUCACAGUCUAAUAUUCUUC